UAUCCGGAUUAUUGGGCGUAAGAGCUCGUAGGCGGUUUGUCGCGUCUGCCGUGAAAGUCCGGGGCUCAACUCCGGAUCUGCGGUGGGUACGGGCAGACUAGAGUGAUGUAGGGGAGACUGGAAUUCCUGGUGUAGCGGUGAAAUGCGCAGAUAUCAGGAGGAACACCGAUGGCGAAGGCAGGUCUCUGGGCAUUAACUGACGCUGAGGAGCGAAAGCAUGGGGAGCGAACAGGAUUAGAUACCCUGGUAGUCCAUGCCGUAAACGUUGGGCACUAGGUGUGGGGGACAUUCCACGUUUUCCGCGCCGUAGCUAACGCAUUAAGUGCCCCGCCUGGGGAGUACGGCCGCAAGGCUAAAACUCAAAGGAAUUGACGGGGGCCCGCACAAGCGGCGGAGCAUGCGGAUUAAUUCGAUGCAACGCGAAGAACCUUACCAAGGCUUGACAUGGGCCGGAUCGCCGCAGAAAUGUGGUUUCCCCUUUGGGGCCGGUUCACAGGUGGUGCAUGGUUGUCGUCAGCUCGUGUCGUGAGAUGUUGGGUUAAGUCCCGCAACGAGCGCAACCCUCGUUCUAUGUUGCCAGCGCGUGAUGGCGGGGACUCAUAGGAGACUGCCGGGGUCAACUCGGAGGAAGGUGGGGACGACGUCAAAUCAUCAUGCCCCUUAUGUCUUGGGCUUCACGCAUGCUACAAUGGCCGGUACAAAGGGUUGCGAUACUGUGAGGUGGAGCUAAUCCCAAAAAGCCGGUCUCAGUUCGGAUUGGGUCUGCAACUCGACCCCAUGAAGUCGGAGUCGCUAGUAAUCGCAGAUCAGCAACGCUGCGGUGAAUACGUUCCCGGGCCUUGUACACACCGCCCGUCAAGUCACGAAAGUUGGUAACACCCGAAGCCCGGUGGCCUACCCCUUG
rnacentral:rRNA from 1 species